GCUUAUGGCCAUACCACUGACAAAGCCGGAUCUCAUCUGACCUCGGAAGCAAAGUAAAGUUGGGCCUGGUUAGUACUUGGUUGGGAGACUAAAUGGGAAUACUAGGUGCUGUAAGCU
ensembl:rRNA 5S_rRNA 5S ribosomal RNA